rnacentral:rRNA from 1 species
UACAGAGGGGGCAAGCGUUGUUCGGAAUUACUGGGCGUAAAGGGCGCGUAGGCGGCCUGUUAAGUCGAACGUGAAAUCCCCGGGCUCAACCCGGGAACUGCGUCCGAUACUGGCAGGCUUGAAUCCGGGAGAGGGAUGCGGAAUUCCAGGUGUAGCGGUGAAAUGCGUAGAUAUCUGGAGGAACACCGGUGGCGAAGGCGGCAUCCUGGACCAAUACUGACGCUGAGGAGCGAAAGCCAGGGGAGCAAACGGG